UACGGAGGGUGCAAGCGUUGUCCGGAAUCACUGGGCGUAAAGGGCGCGUAGGCGGCUCAUGAAGGCUGUGGUGAAAGUCCGGGGCUCAACCUCGGAUCGGCCAUGGCGACUCGUGGGCUGGAGCACUGUAGAGGCGGGUGGAAUUCCGGGUGUAGCGGUGGAAUGCGUAGAGAUCCGGAAGAACACCAGUGGCGACGGCGGCCCGCUGGGCAGUGGCUGACGCUGAGGCGCGACAGCGUGGGGAGCAAACAGG
rnacentral:rRNA from 1 species